UACGUAGGGGGCGAGCGUUGUCCGGAUUUAUUGGGCGUAAAGAGCUCGUAGGCGGCCACUCAAGUCGAAUGUGAAACCUCGAGGCUCAACCUCGAGCCUGCAUUCGAUACUGGGCGGCUAGAGUCUGGUAGGGGGAUCUGGAAUUCCUGGUGUAGCGGUGGAAUGCGCAGAUAUCAGGAGGAACACCGGUGGCGAAGGCGGGAUCCUGGGCCAGUACUGACGCUGAGGAGCGAAAGCGUGGGGAGCAAACAGG
rnacentral:rRNA from 1 species